UUCUGCUAAUUUUACUCUUUCAGAAAGAGUUGCAACAGUAUCACCCCUCUUCACGGGAACAGCUUCUUGCAAAAUAAUUUGUCCAGCAUCUACCUCUUCCUGGAAAAAUCUGAAGUCAAACAGGAGUUGGAUUCUGGGAUGGAUGUUUUCUUUGCCAAACACAGAAAUGAGGUAAAAGGAAGUUCUCAUCCACAAAGGUCCCGGAAGUAGCAAGUACCCGCCUUGCACAGCCAAAGGCAUGCUGGGAUGCUCUGAACAGACACUCAUGGUGACAGGAAGGUGGGGAGUUCAAGCUGAUACCAGCUUGUUGCUGGCACAUACUAUUAAAAAGAAGCAAGAGGUUCUUA